AGAAGGUGCUGCCUCCGCCUCCGAGGGGAGCCCCCGCAUGCAGCCUAUGCUUCCAGCUCCGGAGGCUGGAAACUCCAGAUCAGGGUCAUCAGGGUCAGCUCCCAGAGGCCCGCUUCCUGGCCCACAGAUCGCCAGCCGCCUUCUCGAGGUGUCCUCACGUCCCUCUGUGUGUUCUCGUGGACAGAAAACUCUCUGGGGUCUGUUCUCAUAAGGGCACAAGGGCAAUCGUGGGAACCCACUCUCGUGACCUCAUCAAACCCUAAUGUGCUUCCUAGCACCGUGACAUUGGGGGCAAGUUUCCAUGAAUGAAUUCUGGGGAGACACAGUUCAGUCCACAGCAAAUGCCCAAAGCCACCUGGAAGGACCGUGCCCCUCCCCUACCCAGGUGCAAGUCGUGCUGUCACAACUGUUCCCCAGGGCUUGUGUGUCCCCAUCCACGUGCUGAGGGAGCCAGAGGGGCGUCUCAGGGGCAGCCAGACGAUGCGCGUGCUGGCCCCACCGAAGGGCCACUCGGGUCUCCUGGUCCCUCCUCUGCCAGCCAUCCCCCCGGGGAGUGCUGGAGGAGUACCCCCUUCCUGCUGUGGGAAGGCAGGUCGAAGCACGGUGUCCCUCCCCAGGACCAGCCCCACCCCACGGGAAGC